CAUAGGGAUGAGCCCUUAAGAAUGGAACGCAGGAAAUGACGUCAAGUUGACUAAUACAAUAUGGCGAACGGCUUACGAAUAGCGGCCCGUAGAAACAGUCGCUAAUGAGGCAUCUACGUAUAUACAUCUAUGCUCUAGCCUACACUGUUGGGUAUCGCCAUUGUACGUAAAUACGCUACGCAACCCAGCGAUUCCUCAAUCGCACACAAACCUGCGCAGCCAAUCAGAUCUCCAAGUCAUGCGUCGCUAAGCAACCGCCUCAAACUAUGCCAUAGAGAUCAGCGCAGUCGCGCACCUUCUGCGUGACGUGAGCGAUCCUCCUGUUUGUUUGUGUAGCUCGAGGAUGAAAAUGGCGGUGGGGAGAGAUCAACGCGAGAAUUAAAACACACAAAUGACCAUUUGACUUGGAUGACAGCAGCAUUGCUGCUCCGGGAGGGAAUAAAGAAGUAGCUUAUCGUCAACAAAGUGCAUUAACGUCAACAAACACCCGGAGUUUAACGGAGAAAAACUGCGUCCUGGAUUUAAAAUAGCUCCUGAAAUUAGCCCGCUAACCUCGUUAGCUUAGCUAGCCUUCAACUGGAAGGUUUAACGGACACCAUAGCACCACACUAACGGAAUUAUUCUGUCAGAAUAAGAUGAACUGCGCUUUUCUCCAAUUACCUCUCAAAUGCAAGCUCAGUCGUAGGCAUUGGGCUUGUAGAAAUAUUUGCAUCUGACUGAAUGCAUAACUAAUCGCUCCGUCUGGCAGUAUCAGCCAGCAAACACCAUCCUCCAAGCCUUCUCAAAGUUCAGCGAGCAUCUUUAACUUAAGAGGAGAACGGAGUAAACAGGUUGCACUGAGUGCCCAUAUCCUCCUGCCUCCCCUAGUGGGAUGGUUCUGCAUGACAGGGAGGGUAUGGUUCUGUAACCCCCUCUCUGUCCUCCAGUUACCAUCCCAUAAACCCAGUGGACCACAGCCAUAGUGUUCCCUUCAAUGAACAUCCCUCUGGAGCCCUAGAUCAAGUUACAUAGGGUGUCCAUUCUCUGCUGCCUCCCCCCGGUGGGAUGGUUCUGCAUGACAGAGAGGGUGUGGCGCCAUAGCCCCCUCUCUUUGAGAUCCUCUCCCACCCCAUAAACCCAGUGGACCACAGCCAUAGAGUUCCCCUCAAUGAGCAUCCCUCUGGAGCCCUAGAUCAAGUAAGUUGGCAAAUCAUCCAGAAGCUCGAAGCUGUAUUAAAAAAUAACCUGAAUUGGCAACAGCUGACACUGUGGAUCCAGCAGUAGCAAGCUUUUUUAUUGGAGGAAAUGUUUAUAUAAUCAUCCAGUGUUUUGGAGUAACUAACUACAAGUUGUGAUGGUACUAACUGAAAUGCAUUCUUAGUGGCGUGACAGUAGCUCAGCUGUUUUCAGAACAGUGUAACGCUUCCAGUAACAAGCUAUUUUCUCCAAGUAGUGGCGGCAUGACUAA
rnacentral:lncRNA from 1 species